rnacentral:tRNA from 1 species
GUCCCUGUAGCGCAAUGGAUAGCGCGUUGGACUUCUUAUCCAAAGGUCGUGAGUUCGAAUCCUACCUGGGAUC